GAUGAACGCUGGCGGCGUGCCUAAUACAUGCAAGUCGAGCGAACAGACGAGGAGCUUGCUCCUCUGACGUUAGCGGCGGACGGGUGAGUAACACGUGGAUAACCUACCUAUAAGACUGGGAUAACUUCGGGAAACCGGAGCUAAUACCGGAUAAUAUAUUGAACCGCAUGGUUCAAUAGUGAAAGACGGUUUUGCUGUCACUUAUAGAUGGAUCCGCGCCGCAUUAGCUAGUUGGUAAGGUAACGGCUUACCAAGGCAACGAUGCGUAGCCGACCUGAGAGGGUGAUCGGCAACACUGGAACUGAGAAACGGUCCAGACUCCUACGGGAGGCAGCAGUAGGGAAUCUUCCGAAAUGGGCGAAAGCCUGACGGAGCAACGCCGCGUGAGUGAUGAAGGUCUUCGGAUCGUAAAACUCUGUUAUUAGGGAAGAACAAAUGUGUAAGUAACUAUGCACGUCUUGACGGUACCUAAUCAGAAAACCACGGCUAACUACGU
rnacentral:rRNA from 1 species